rnacentral:pre_miRNA from 1 species
UCUUAUGGAUGAGCAAUGAAAGUGGUUUCUGGAGAUAGAAUCUACUCUUGGUGAAUAUGCUGUGAA